rnacentral:rRNA from 1 species
AUACAGAGGGUGCAAGCGUUAAUCGGAUUUACUGGGCGUAAAGCGCGCGUAGGUGGCUAAUUAAGUCAAAUGUGAAAUCCCCGAGCUUAACUUGGGAAUUGCAUUCGAUACUGGUUAGCUAGAGUAUGGGAGAGGAUGGUAGAAUUCCAGGUGUAGCGGUGAAAUGCGUAGAGAUCUGGAGGAAUACCGAUGGCGAAGGCAGCCAUCUGGCCUAAUACUGCCACUGAGGUGCGAAAGCAUGGGGAGCAAACAGGAUUAGAUACCCUGGUAGUCCAUGCCGUAAACGAUGUCUACUAGCCGUUGGGGCCCUUGAGGCUUUAGUGGCGCAGCUAACGCGAUAAGUAGACCGCCUGGGGAGUACGGUCGCAAGACUAAAACUCAAAUGAAUUGGCGGGG